AAACGACUCUCGGCAACGGAUAUCUCGGCUCUCGCAUCGAUGAAGAACGUAGCGAAAUGCGAUACUUGGUGUGAAUUGCAGAAUCCCGUGAACCAUCGAGUCUUUGAACGCAAGUUGCGCCCCAAGCCAUUAGGCCGAGGGCACGCCUGCCUGGGUGUCACGC
rnacentral:rRNA from 7 species